GACGAACGCUGGCGGCGUGCUUAACACAUGCAAGUCGAACGGAAAGGCCCUGCUUGCAGGGUCCUCGAGUGGCGAACGGGUGAGUAACACGUGGGUGAUCUGCCCUGCACUUCGGGAUAAGCCUGGGAAACUGGGUCUAAUACCGCACAGGAGCCAAUUUUAGUGUGAUGGUUGGAAAGUUUUUUCGGUGUAGGAUGAGCUCGCGGCCUAUCAGCUUGUUAGGGGGGUAAUGGCCUACCAAGGCGGCGCGGGGUAGCCGGCCUGAGGGGGUGGACGGCCACAUUGGGACUGAGGGACGGCCCAGACUGCUACGGGAGGCAACAGUGGGGAAUAUUGCACAAUGGGCGCAAGCCUGAGGCAGCGACGCCGCGUGGGGGAUGACGGCCUUCGGGUGGUAAACUCCUUUCGGUAGGGAAGAAGCUUUUUGUGACGGUACCUAGAUAAGAAGCACCGGCUAACUACGUG
rnacentral:rRNA from 1 species